GCCGGCAGCUAGCUCUCUGCAACUCUCACAUGGUCACCCACUGAAACUAAGCAGGGCUGUGCCGAUCAGUACUUGAAUGGGAGACCACAUGGGAAAGCUAGGUUGCUGCUGGAA
rnacentral:rRNA from 1 species